rnacentral:tRNA from 1 species
UCCACGGUAGCAAAGCCGGUCUAUGCGGCGGACUGAAAAUCCGUAGAUGUUGGUUCAACCCCAACCCGUGGAA